rnacentral:rRNA from 1 species
UGGGGAAUAUUGGACAAUGGGCGCAAGCCUGAUGCAGCCAUGCCGCGUGUAUGAAGAAGGCCUUCGGGUUGUAAAGUACUUUCAGCGAGGAGGAAGGCGUUGUGGUUAAUAACCGCAACGAUUGACGUUACUCGCAGAAGAAGCACCGGCUAACUCCGUGCCAGCAGCCGCGGUAAUACGGAGGGUGCAAGCGUUAAUCGGAAUUACUGGGCGUAAAGCGCACGCAGGCGGUCUGUCAAGUCGGAUGUGAAAUCCCCGGGCUCAACCUGGGAACUGCAUCCGAAACUGGCAGGCUAGAGUCUUGUAGAGGGGGGUAGAAUUCCAGGUGUAGCGGUGAAAUGCGUAGAGAUCUGGAGGAAUACCGGUGGCGAAGGCGGCCCCCUGGACAAAGACUGACGCUCAGGUGCGAAAGCGUGGGGAGCAAACA